GUGUCAGCAGCCGCGGUAAUACAGAGGUGGCUAGCGUUGUUCGGAAUUACUGGGCGUAAAGGGAGCGCAGGCGGCCAAAUUAGUCUGAAGUGCAAGCCCGGGGCUCAACCCCGGAAUUGCUUUGGAUACUGUUUGGCUUGAGUAUGUCAGAGGUGAGCGGAAUUCCAGGUGUAGCGGUGAAAUGCGUAGAUAUCUGGAGGAACAUCGGUGGCGAAAGCGGCUCACUGGGACAAAACUGACGCUGAGGCUCGAAAGCGUGGGGAGCGAACGGGAUUAGAUACCCCGGUAGUCCACGCUGUAAACGUUGUGCACUAGGUGUGAGGGGUGUCUACCCCCUUCGUGCCGUAGCUAACGCAUUAAGUGCACCGCCUGGGGAGUACGGUCGCAAGACUGAA
rnacentral:rRNA from 1 species